CGGCGGACGGGUGAGUAAUGCCUAGGAAUCCGCCUGGUAGUGGGGGACAACGUUUCGAAAGGAACGCUAAUACCGCAUACGUCCUACGGGAGAAAGCAGGGGACCUUCGGGCCUUGCGCUAUCAGAUGAGCCUAGGUCGGAUUAGCUAGUUGGUGAGGUAAUGGCUCACCAAGGCGACGAUCCGUAACUGGUCUGAGAGGAUGAUCAGUCACACUGGAACUGAGACACGGUCCAGACUCCUACGGGAGGCAGCAGCC
rnacentral:rRNA from 1 species